CGCGUGUGAGGCCAGCCAACGUAAAAGGCGGCGGCACAGGUGGGUCUCUCCGGGCUGUGUGAAUGGUGUGAACACUCCUGCAGGCUCUAACACCGGUUUGACGAGCCUGCCAUACAAGCUGCGCUGCUGAUGUCAUAACAGGCUGGACACCUGUUUCUCAUUUGAACCCAAGGUAAACAUGAUCGAGAAGGCUGAAUGGCGGAGUUGGCUCGCUGCCCAUCCACAUAGUUAAUAGUGAGCUUGAGCAUGUUUGUUACAAUGAAUGGGACAGAUGAAGUUUUUUUUUUCACUUUCCUUUUCAUGUGCAGCUUAGCCUUGGUAGGAUAAUAGCACUGCAAUCACUGGUGCGCUGGGGCUCUUGUGGCUCUCAGCACUUCCCUUUCAGGCCUGGCUUACCCUCAGCGCUCUGUCAGCAUCAGGAUGAGUGAGCUUUAAUGCAGCAUCGGACGGGGGGGCUUCCGGACAAGGGCCGACCACUUCCAAAAUCCACGAGGUUCAGGGAAAAUAGAGCUGUUUUCCUCAUGGAUUGUCUUUACAUUUGUAUCACAGCUCUGAGUGCAUAAUACUUGGAAAGAUUCAUCUGGGAGCUUGUCUUCUCCAAGUGCUUUGCUCAAGGGCAUCUUGAAGUGCUCAGUGAUGAAGGAGAGGGUAU